rnacentral:rRNA from 1 species
UGCGCAGGCGGCCGUGUGUGUCAGGUGUGAAAUCCCGGGGCUUAACCCCGGAACUGCGCCUGAAACUACAUGGCUAGAGUAUUGGAGAGGGUAGCGGAAUUCACGGUGUAGCAGUGAAAUGCGUAGAUAUCGUGAGGAACACCAGAGGCGAAGGCGGCUACCUGGACAAUUACUGACGCUCAGGCACGAAAGCGUGGGGAGCAAAAGGGAUUAGAUACCCCUGUAGUCCACGCCCUAAACGGUGCACACUAGGUCUUGGCGGAUUCGACCCACCAGGGCCCAAGCUAACGCGUUAAGUGUGCCGCCUGAGGACUACGGCCGCAAGGCUAAA